GACGAACGCUGGCGGCGUGCCUAAUACAUGCAAGUCGAACGCUGAAGGAGGAGCUUGCUUCUCUGGAUGAGUUGCGAACGGGUGAGUAACGCGUAGGUAACCUGCCUGGUAGCGGGGGAUAACUAUUGGAAACGAUAGCUAAUACCGCAUAAUAGUAGAUGUUGCAUGACAUUUGCCUAAAAGGUGCAAUUGCAUCACUACCAGAUGGACCUGCGUUGUAUUAGCUAGUUGGUGGGGUAACGGCUCACCAAGGCGACGAUACAUAGCCGACCUGAGAGGGUGAUCGGCCACACUGGGACUGAGACACGGCCCAGACUCCUACGGGAGGCAGCAGUAGGGAAUCUUCGGAAAUGGACGGAAGUCUGACCGAGCAACGCCGCGGGAGUGAAGAAGGGUUUCGGAUCGUAAAGCUCUGUUGUAAGAGAAGAACGAGUGUGAGAGUGGAAAGUUCACACUGUGACGGUAGCUUACCAGAAAGGGACGGCUAACUACGUG
rnacentral:rRNA from 1 species